rnacentral:rRNA from 1 species
UACAGAGGGGGCAAGCGUUGUUCGGAAUUACUGGGCGUAAAGGGCGCGUAGGCGGCCUUCUAAGUCGAACGUGAAAUCCCCGGGCUCAACCCGGGAACUGCGUCCGAUACUGGAAGGCUUGAAUCCGGGAGAGGGAUGCGGAAUUCCAGGUGUAGCGGUGAAAUGCGUAGAUAUCUGGAGGAACACCGGUGGCGAAGGCGGCAUCCUGGACCGGCAUUGACGCUGAGGCGCGAAAGCUAGGGUAGCAAACGGG